CAUGGGAGAGUUGGACCCACUGAGGUGUGGCCUCGGUGCCAUCUCUCUACUCCCUUAGAGGUAUCCUGUGGCCUCCUGUCCUGGGCAGUGGUGGUGACCAUGGAGAGGAGAAGGUAGGGUUAGGGUAUGAUCUUCCUCCAUAGAAAACUGGUGACAGACUGUCUGGGCCCAGCCAGGCUCAGCCUCCAGGGUGCUGUCACAGGUUCCUAUGGCCUCACUGGGACCAUGUCUAAGGUCUCCUCUCAGAGCAGAGGUCUGGUUGGAGUAAGUGCAGGGGGUUAUGGGCCUGAGUUCUCUUGGGGCUUAAGCUGUUGGUGUAUCCUGGACACUUGCCCACUGCAGACCUUGCCCCUGGUCCUGGAGGGGCAUUUGAUAGAGGGGUUUGACCCCUGCUCCGUACAAAGGAGGUACUGGCCCCAGCCUAUCUGAGAUCUUGGAAUCAGUCUUCGGCUGGCCUUGCCUCCAGAAAAGGCCCCCAUCCAUGGUCACCCUGGGGCUACAGAUGUCCUUGAAGGCCUGCAUGCUCCUGGGACUGCUGAGUUUGGCCAAGGCUGCAGCAAACACUGUAAUGUCCUCUGGGACUCACUGGGCUUCUUUUGUGCUUUGUAUGAGAUAGAACUUGGGCCACAAGGGAAGAUUUCAAGUCAGUUACUUCUGGCCAAACUCCAGAUGUUUCCAGCUGAGGAGACAUUCACUUGGUGUCUUCGGGAGGCCCUGAGUUAACACUUGCCCUAGACUUGUUACGGGGGCAGCAGCAGCGUGCUGGGGCUGGAGCCGCAGCAUGCUCUGAGGAGUCUCCACCAGCUUAGCAAUGAGGAGAGCCCGGAGCUCCACUUGCCAGGCUCUGUGCAGGCUCUGGGCUCUGGGGGCUGGACUGAGCGGGAGGUGGGAGCAAGGUUCACCAAUUUCUCUGCAGGAAUAGUAGCUGCAGCAGAGAACAGGAUGGAGCCUUUCUGGGCUGGGCAGAGGCAGGAAGUGAGGCAUGAGCCCAGGGCCAUAGCAGUCCUCAGCCACUGAGUGGGGAUGAGAAUGCCUCUUCAUCCCCACUGCCUCCUGUCACAGCCUUCCUGCCAUCUGCCUUGCCCUGAACUGGCAAGAUCAAGGAAUGAGGAGUCCGUGGGAGAAGGGGGCUGAGGGUGGGGGGUAGCCAAGCCAGUGCCACUGCCCCGCAGCUCCAGCCUCAGCCUCUCUCCAUGGCUCCCACAGCUCCUCCAGACCACCAACAACUCCCCAAUGAACUCCAAGCCGCAGCAGAUUAAAAUGCAGUCGACGAAAAAGGGCCCCCUGACGAAACGAGACGAGGGGGGCCCGUCUGGUGGGCCAGCAGUAGGAGCACCCCCACCUGGAGAUGAAGCCUCCUCUGUAGGGGCAGGGCAACCAGCUGCGUCCAGCAAUCUCCAGCCUCAGCCUAAGCCCAGCAGUGGAGGCCGGCGACGAGGGGGCCAGCGCCACAAGGUGAAGUCCCAGGGGGCCUGUGUGACUCCUGCCAGCGGCUGCUGAACCUUCCCCUGGCCCACCCUCACCACCCAAGGGGUCAUCAUCUCUGGCCACCACUCCACCAGAUGGGCAGAGCAGCUAUGACCGCCACCCAGCCCUCCCGCUCAGGCCACAGCCGGAGCCUCCGCAUUGCCCCCACCCCCAUUUUCCAGGGGGGUUGUAAUUUAUAAGCUGACGAAGGUAGCCAGACUUCUGGAGGACUGACCAUCUCACUGUCCUCCCCACCUUCUUCCUCACUCACACAUUUUUUGUACAUCUGGGCCCUUAGUUUUUAUUCUGUUUAUUAUAUGUCUCUGUCUCUAUUGUGUGUGUGUGUGUGUGGGGGGGGGGGGUGCAGGAGUGCCACCCCCAGGGCCCUGUCAACCUCUCUUUUCUCCUCCAUGGCUGUCUGCCUGCGUAUCUGUCUCUGAGAAUCCUCGGGGCGGUCAGGGGAUGUCAGGAGGGGAAGGAGCCGCCCUCCCUAUCUUGCUGCUCCUCUUGGCACUCAGGGGCACCUUCCAUGGAGCCAGACUGGGUGGAGGGGCUUCUGGGAUUUGGUGUCUGCUGCUGCCAGAGCAGGAACCCCCAGUCUAGGACUUGGGCAUUUUAACAGAGAGAAAGUAGUGGCUUCUCCUUUUCUCUCUCUCCUCAUUUUUCCCUUUAAGCCCACAGAUUCAGGUCAUGCCAAAAGCUCUCUGGUUGUAACCUGGAGACAUGUGGAGGGGAAUGGCGAUGGGAUUAUAGGACUCUCCCCAUCUCGGGCCCUGACCCUGACCCUUGCCACCAACCCAAAGACAGCUGGUGGGUUUCCCCUUGGAGACAAUCCUGCGUUUGCCUGGGCCGGCCCUGGCUGCCCUCAGCUUUCGCUGAUCUGCCCGGCCUGGAGCCUCUCAUCACCCCGCUUCUUGUUGGGCCUCAGGCACUGGUUACCAAAAGGGGGUCUGGGUCUGCUCAGGAUCAUGUUUUCUAGCACCUCCUGUUGGAGGGGUGGAGGGAUGUUCCCCUGAGCCAGGCUGAGACUAGAACCCCAUCUUCCCUGAGCCAGGCUGAGACUAGAACCCCAUCUUCCCCGCCACGCCACCCCUGUGGCUGCUACAGGAGCACAGUAGUGAAGGCCUGAGCUCCAGGUUUGAAAGACCCAACUGGAGCGUGGGGCGGGCAGGCAGGGGUUAGUGAAAGGACACUUCCAGGGUUAGGACAGAGCAUUUAGCCUUCUGGAAGAACCCCUGCCUGGGGUGGGACUGUGCAGGCCAGAGAAGGUGGCGUGGGCCUGAACCCACCUGGACUGACUUCUGCACUGAAGCCACAGAUGGAGGGUAGGCUGGUGGGUGGGGGUGGUUCGUUCUCUAGCCGGGGCAGACACCCAGCUGGCUGGGUCCUUCCUCAGCCUUGCCUCCUCCUGUCCCCAACCCUUUCCUCCUGCUUGCGGACUGCUGGUCCCCUCUCCUUCCCUCCUUCCAGCUGUUUCUAGUUACCACCUACCCCUGGCCGUGGACUGAUCAGACCAGCAUUCAAAAUAAAAGUUUGUUCCAAGUUG
rnacentral:sRNA from 1 species